rnacentral:rRNA from 1 species
ACGGGUGCGUAACGCGUAUGCAACUUACCUCUAACUGGAGGAUAGCCUUCCGAAAGGAAGAAUAAUACUCCAUAACAUUACGAUGUGGCAUCACAUUGUUCUUAAAGCUUCGGCGGUUAGAGAUGGGCAUGCGUCUGAUUAGUUUGUUGGUGAGGUAACGGCUCACCAAGACUACGAUCAGUAGGGGGCCUGAGAGGGUUAUCCCCCACACUGGUACUGAGACACGGACCAGACUCC